rnacentral:rRNA from 1 species
ACGGAAGGCAGCAGUGGGGAAUAUUGCACAAUGGGGGAAACCCUGAUGCAGCGACGCCGCGUGAGUGAAGAAGUAUUUCGGUAUGUAAAGCUCUAUCAGCAGGGAAGAAAAUGACGGUACCUGACUAAGAAGCCCCGGCUAACUACGUGCCAGCAGCCGCGGUAAUACGUAGGGGGCAAGCGUUAUCCGGAUUUACUGGGUGUAAAGGGAGCGUAGACGGUUCUGCAAGUCUGAUGUGAAAGGCAGGGGCUCAACUCCUGGACUGCAUUGGAAACUGUAGAACUAGAGUGCCGGAGAGGUAAGCGGAAUUCCUAGUGUAGCGGUGAAAUGCGUAGAUAUUAGGAAGAACACCAGUGGCGAAGGCGGCUUUCUGGACUGAAACUGACGCUGAGGCUCGAAAGCGUGGGGAGCAAACAGGAUUAGAUACCCUGGUA